UCUGGAUAAACUUGUAUUCAUCCAAGAGAAUGAAGCAAGUCACUUUACAGAAUUAGAAUAAGUAACACAUUUUGGGAUUGCCAAAGGCUUACAUAUAAGUGAAAUCCUUGAAUGACAGGAUAACCGUAUGUCCUUUAAUACAAUCUGUAUUAUAAAAAUAAUCUUGAAUAGCUUUAGAUAAGUUUUCAAGUUACGUUGAA
rnacentral:ncRNA from 1 species